GACUGUAUAGCUCAGUUGGUUAGAGCGUCCGACUGUUAAUCGGGAGGUCUGCAGUUCGAACCUGCAUAUGGUCG
rnacentral:tRNA from 1 species